rnacentral:rRNA from 1 species
AUUGAACGCUGGCGGCAGGCCUAACACAUGCAAGUCGAACGGUAACAGGAAACAGCUUGCUGUUUCGCUGACGAGUGGCGGACGGGUGAGUAAUGUCUGGGAAACUGCCUGAUGGAGGGGGAUAACUACUGGAAACGGUAGCUAAUACCACAUAACGUCGCAAGACCAAAGAGGGGGACCUUCGGGCCUCUUGCCAUCGGAUGUGCCCAGAUGGGAUUAGCUAGUAGGUGGGGUAACGGCUCACCUAGGCGACGAUCCCUAGCUGGUCUGAGAGGAUGACCAGCCACACUGGAACUGAGACACGGUCCAGACUCCUACGGGAGGCAGCAGUGGGGAAUAUUGCACAAUGGGCGCAAGCCUGAUGCAGCCAUGCCGCGUGUAUGAAGAAGGCCUUCGGGUUGUAAAGUACUUUCAGCGGGGAUGAAGGGAGUAAAGUUAAUACCUUGGCUCAUUGACGUUACCCGCAGAAGAAGCACCGGCUAACUCCGUG